rnacentral:rRNA from 1 species
AACGAACGCUGGCGGCAGGCUUAACACAUGCAAGUCGAACGCCCCGCAAGGGGAGUGGCAGACGGGUGAGUAACGCGUGGGAAUCUACCUAGUUCUACGGAACAACUGAGGGAAACUUCAGCUAAUACCGUAUACGCCCUACGGGGGAAAGAUUUAUCGGAAUUAGAUGAGCCCGCGUAAGAUUAGCUAGUUGGUGGGGUAAUGGCCUACCAAGGCGACGAUCUUUAGCUGGUCUGAGAGGAUGAUCAGCCACACUGGGACUGAGACACGGCCCAGACUCCUACGGGAGGCAGCAGUGGGGAAUAUUGGACAAUGGGCGCAAGCCUGAUCCAGCCAUGCCGCGUGAGUGAUGAAGGCCUUAGGGUUGUAAAGCUCUUUCAGUGGGGAAGAUAAUGACGGUACCCACAGAAGAAGCCCCGGCUAACUUCGUGCCAGCCGCCACCGUAAAAC